rnacentral:rRNA from 1 species
AUUGAACGCUGGCGGCAGGCUUAACACAUGCAAGUCGAGCGAGCGGCGGACGGGUGAGUAAUGUCUGGGAAACUGCCUGAUGGAGGGGGAUAUCUACGGGAAACGGUCGCUAAUACCGCAUAACCUCAUAUGUGCACAGAUGGGAUUAGCUAGUAGGUGGGGUAAUGGCUCACCUAGGCGACGAUCCCUAGCUGGUCUGAGAGGAUGACCAGCAACACUGGAACUGAGACACGGUCCAGACUACGACGGGAGGCAGCAGUGGGGAAUAUUGCACAAGGGGCGCAAGCCUGAUGCAGCCAUGCCGCGUGUGUGAAGAAGGCCGUCGGGUUGUAAAGCACUUUCAGCGAGGAGGCGUUACUCGCAGAAGAAGCACCGGCUAACUCCGUGCCAGCAGCCGCGGUAAUUC